rnacentral:rRNA from 1 species
UUUAUUUUUAUUUGAUGUUAAGAUUAAGGGGGAUUAGCUCCUUGUUUUACUUUUAUAAUUGGUUAUUGUUUAAUUUAGUUUUGUGGAUUUUAUAGUGAUUUUCUAUUUGAUUAUGUUAAAAUUUUAUUUGUUAUUUUUUUAAUUUUUUGUUAUUUAAGUUAUUUAUUGAAAUGUUUUCUUUACUUUUGGUUUGUAUAGUAAUUAUUGUGUAAUUAGUAAAUUUUAUUGGUUGUUUUGUUAGAUAAGUGUUAAUUGCCUUUGAGGAAUUCGGCAAAGUUUUAUGUCCGCCUGUUUAACAAAAACAUCUUUUCUUGUUAGUUUUUGAAGUAUGGCCUGCCCACUGACGUUAGUUGAAGGGCCGCGGUAUUUUGACCGUGCAAAGGUAGCAUAAUCAUUAGUUCUUUAAUUGUGAUCUGGUAUGAAUGGCUUGACGAGACAUAAGCUGUCUUAGAGGCAUUGGUUUAUUGAAUUUGGUUUUUGAGUUAAAAUUCUUAAAUGUUUUUAUGGGACGAGAAGACCCUAUAGAGUUUGACAGGUUUCUUAUUUAUUCUUUGUUUGUUUUGUUACAUUAAAUUGGGAGAUACUGUUUUGUUGGGGUGAUGGGAGGAUAAAAUUUAACUCUUCUUUGUUUUUGUAUAUUUAUGUAUA